AGGCAGUGACGAGCACAAUUAUACCAUCAAACUAUGAGAGCUUGAAAGCUCGUUGAUGUAUCAACAUUAUUCUCUGAGCCU